rnacentral:rRNA from 1 species
UACAGAGGUCUCAAGCGUUGUUCGGAUUCAUUGGGCGUAAAGGGUGCAUAGGCGGCGCGGUAAGUCGGGUGUGAAAUCUCGGAGCUUAACUCCGAAACUGCAUUCGAUACUGCCGUGCUUGAGGACUGGAGAGGAGACUGGAAUUUACGGUGUAGCGGUGAAAUGCGUAGAUAUCGUAAGGAAGACCAGUGGCGAAGGCGGGUCUCUGGACAGUUCCUGACGCUGAGGCACGAAGGUCGGGGGAGCAAACGGG